CCUACGGGGUGCUGCAGUGGGGAAUAUUGCGCAAUGGGCGAAAGCCUGACGCAGCGACGCCGCGUGGGUGAUGAAGGCCUUCGGGUUGUAAAGCCCUGUCGGGUGGAACGAACGAUCUGGCGGCGAAUAACCGCCGGGUGUGACGGUACCACCGAAGGAAGCCCCGGCUAACUACGUGCCAGCAGCCGCGGUAAGACGUAGGGGGCGACUGUUGGUCGGAUUUACGUGGGGUAAAGGGCAAGUAGGCUGUGAAAUCCCUCGGCUUAACCGAGGUCCAGCAUCCGAUACUGUCUGGCUCGAGUCUAGGAGAGGAAAGCGGAAUUCCCAGUGUAGCGGUGAAAUGCGUAGAUAUUGGGAGGAACACCGGUGGCGAAGGCGGCUUUCCGGACUAGUACUGACGCUGAGGCGCGAAAGCUAGGGGAGCGAACGGGAUUAGAUACCCCUGUAGUC
rnacentral:rRNA from 1 species